AGUCGAGGGGCAGCAUGGUCUUAGCUUGCUAAGGCCGAUGGCGACCGGCGCACGGGUGAGUAACACGUAUCCAACCUGCCGUCUACUCUUGGACAGCCUUCUGAAAGGAAGAUUAAUACAAGAUGGCAUCAUGAGUCCGCAUGUUCACAUGAUUAAAGGUAUUCCGGUAGACGAUGGGGAUGCGUUCCAUUAGAUAGUAGGCGGGGUAACGGCCCACCUAGUCUUCGAUGGAUAGGGGUUCUGAGAGGAAGGUCCCCCACAUUGGAACUGAGACACGGUCCAAACUCCUACGGGAGGCAGCAGUGAGGAAUAUUGGUCAAUGGGCGAGAGCCUGAACCAGCCAAGUAGCGUGAAGGAUGACUGCCCUAUGGGUUGUAAACUUCUUUUAUAAAGGAAUAAAGUCGGGUAUGNAUACCCGUUUGCAUGUNCUUUAUGAAUAAGGAUCGGCUAACUCCGUGCCAGCAGCCGCGGUAAUACGGAGGAUCCGAGCGUUAUCCGGAUUUAUUGGGUUUAAAGGGAGCGUAGAUGGAUGUUUAAGUCAGUUGUGAAAGUUUGCGGCUCAACCGUAAAAUUGCAGUUGAUACUGGAUAUCUUGAGUGCAGUUGAGGCAGGCGGAAUUCGUGGUGUAGCGGUGAAAUGCUUAGAUAUCACGAAGAACUCCGAUUGCGAAGGCAGCCUGCUAAGCUGCAACUGACAUUGAGGCUCGAAAGUGUGGGUAUCAAACAGGAUUAGAUACCCUGGUAGUCCACACGGUAAACGAUGAAUACUCGCUGUUUGCGAUAUACGGCAAGCGGCCAAGCGAAAGCGUUAAGUAUUCCACCUGGGGAGUACGCCGGCAACGGUGAAACUCAAAGGAAUUGACGGGGGCCCGCACAAGCGGAGGAACAUGUGGUUUAAUUCGAUGAUACGCGAGGAACCUUACCCGGGCUUAAAUUGCAGAUGAAUUACGGUGAAAGCCGUAAGCCCCAAGGCAUCUGUGAAGGUGCUGCAUGGUUGUCGUCAGCUCGUGCCGUGAGGUGUCGGCUUAAGUGCCAUAACGAGCGCAACCCUUGUUGUCAGUUACUAACAGGUUCCGCUGAGGACUCUGACAAGACUGCCAUCGUAAGAUGUGAGGAAGGUGGGGAUGACGUCAAAUCAGCACGGCCCUUACGUCCGGGGCUACACACGUGUUACAAUGGGGGGUACAGAGGGCCGCUACCACGCGAGUGGAUGCCAAUCCCAAAAACCUCUCUCAGUUCGGACUGGAGUCUGCAACCCGACUCCACGAAGCUGGAUUCGCUAGUAAUCGCGCAUCAGCCACGGCGCGGUGAAUACGUUCCCGGGCCUUGUACACACCGCCCGUCAAGCCAUGGGAGCCGGGGGUACCUGAAGUGCGUAACC
rnacentral:rRNA from 1 species